GACGAACGCUGGCGGCGUGCCUAAUACAUGCAAGUCGGACGCAGUUGCGAACGGGUGAGUCACGCGUAGGUAACUCCCUCUUUGAGGGGGAUCACUCUUGGAAACGAUAGCUAAUACCGCCUACUAGUAGGUGGACCUUCGGUGUAUUAGGUAGUUGGUUGGGUAAUGGCCUACCUAGGCAACGAUACAUUGCCGAGCGUGGAGGGGGGUCGGCCAAAAUGGGAACGCGACACGGCCCAGACUCCUACGGGAGGCAGCAGGAGGGAAUCUUUGGCAAUGGGGGGAAACCUGACCGGGCAACGGCGCGGGAGUGAAGAAGGGUUUCGGAUCGGAAAGCUCUGUUGUUAAGGAAGCGGUACUUAACCAGAAAGGGACGGCUAACUACGUGCCAGCAGCCGCGGUAAUAC
rnacentral:rRNA from 1 species